UCCAGAGGGGGCAAGCGUUGUUCGGAAUUACUGGGCGUAAAGGGCGCGUAGGCGGCCUGCUAAGUCGAACGUGAAAUCCCUGGGCUCAACCCAGGAACUGCGUCCGAUACUGGUUGGCUUGAAUCCGGGAGAGGGAUGUGGAAUUCCAGGUGUAGCGGUGAAAUGCGUAGAUAUCGUAAGGAAGACCAGCGGCGAAGGCGGAUCUCUGGACAGUUACUGACACUGAGGCACGAAGGCCAGGGGAGCAAACGGG
rnacentral:rRNA from 1 species